UGAUGACAAUUAUAUUCCUGGAUACAUAGUCCAUAAUGGACCAAUAUGAAAAUGUGCCCGAGUCUCAACGGCAUUCACUCGGUGAAUACGUGAAUGUACUAGAGCCAGCACCGAUCAUACUAGAUCCUUGUUUUGUUGGCACUAGUGAUCGGGAAAGUGAAGAUGAUGUUCCAGACUACGAGAAUAUCUGUUUUGGACUUUGAACUAUCCAGACCCCAGGAAGGGGAUUGGGGUUGAAAGGAGGAUUUGUAAGGAUCAGUUUUGCACUGGUGCAUCUAUUCAUCUUUGUGAAGGAUGGAUCACCACCAAGGACACCUUCUCCUGAACAACUUCCAGUUUUGCCGU